CUCAAGUGUGAGUGGACUGAGUACUAUUAGUCCACUGUGGUUGCAUAAACUGAAGCCAGCCUCAAAGGUAAUUAGAAACUGCAACAUUCCCAGAGGAGGUAUAGGUAGGUAAUGAGUACUGAGAAAUCUGCUUCAUCAGGUACCUCACAUCUUUCUCAAUGAUUCAUGACAGUCAACAACUCCAGCAUAUACAGUUUCAUUCGCAGCGAAAGAAUACGAAGACUUCAAACUGUUUCAUAGAGACGCACACGUACACUACAAAGCCACACAUACGAACAUGAAGUAUUCUCACCGGACACUUGUAAUCUGCUAGAGCGAGCUGAAGCCCUUUCUCCUGUGCAUUUAAAAUGGAACCGAAGGCAGCUUGCUUUCAAGCCACAGACACUAUUUACCUCCUCUGAAGCUCAGAGUAGUUGAGCUGUGAAUGAUAACCUGCGGAUGCGGAAAUGACUGCAGACUGGCAGACGUGGAUCAGCAAGGGGCCUAAUACCAGCACCUCUGAAAUGCUGGCCUAGAGGGAGGCUGAGGCAGGAGGAUUGCCAUGAGUCUGAGGCCAGGUUGGACUACGUUACGUCUUGGUAAAUAAAUACGGUGUUUUGAAGAUGCUGCAAAAUUGGACUCUUGAGAUGUGGUUGGAGGGGCUGAGGAGACGGCUCAGCAGUUAUGAGAACUGGUUGUUCUCUUAUGAGUCCAGCACCCACAUGGCAUGUCACCUGCACCUCUAGGCUCAGAGGAUCUGACACUCUCUUCUGUCCUCCACAGGGCGCACAGGCACACACGCAGGCGAAACAUACAGAGACAUAAAGUAAAUACGAUGGAAACAUGAUUCCAAGUGGACCCUACAUCACGUUGGGUCCUGGGGGUUCCUGGGAACAGGAUACUCUGUAACAGGCUCCUGAAACGCUAGAGAAUCUAUGAGGGGAAUCGAUGACUGGAAGGACCUUGGCUACAGCACAGUUACUGAGAGAAUUACGGGGGAGGCUCAGAAAGUGAGCAGGAGCCGGGAAGACUGAGAGACCGACAACCCAAGCAGGUCAUUCGACUGUUUGGAAUAUCCUGCUAAUCUUGUCACUACACAAUACACACUGGCUCAGCUUUUGCUGUUACUUCACUGGACGGAGAGUACAUACGGCAACUGUAAAACCAACAUUUUGCGACAUUGUCCCCACUUUGUAUCAAGGCUCAAAGCCCUGAGUGGGACACUUGUAAGGAUGACCUUAGGUCUCAUGCCUGUUCCCUCACUGUGAGGAUCCGGGGAACAAGUGUCUGCUAUUUUUAGCUUCCUUAGUGGGAGGUAAAGGCUGCCUCCUGCCAAAAGUUUUGAACUAGGGACUUCCUCCAAUAGGAGGUUGUUUGUGCUGUCCAGCCUUGUGCGACCGUGCAGCUACCACAGAACCUCGGGAGAGAGAAUGCCCGGUGUAAGGAUGGCCAGCAUCAGUCAGAAUAAGAUACGCUGUUGUGGGCAACGACAACCGACUCUAAAAGGCCAGGGGCUUACAUCAACUGAGAUGUAUUUCAGGUCAUGUCAUUUGCAGAUUUUGAAUGCUGACUUCACUGCUGGUGCUCAGAAGCCUCUAGAAUAUUACUGAUCUCAUAACAGUAAAAAAAGGUGGGGGGGGGAAACGAGGCACUGUGUGGCCAGGAAACAUCACACCAACAAGCUGUCUGUAUUCUGAGUCAUAACAAGAGCAGGACAAUUACUAUGUUUGUAAAAAGAAAAAUUAAGAAUACCCAUAUGUGUGUGUUUGUGUGCAUGCAUGUGUGU
rnacentral:sRNA from 1 species